UGAGCGGAGCUCGCCUGCAGGACUUUGUUCUAUUACUUUAGGAAAGAUCUGUGAUCAUAAUCCAUAUGAGUGUUUUAUAAUGCACAAACAAGAAAAGGUGGAAAGGAUUGACUUGAGAAUGGACAGUAAGAAGCAAUCACAACC